UGGAGACCAUGGAAUGAUGGAGUCCCUGAAUGGUUGGGCUUGGAAGGGAGCCUGAAGAAACAUCUUGUUCCAAGCUGAGCAAUCUUCCCCCAGAGCAGGCUGCUCAGAGCCCUGUUGCCAAGGAUGGGGCAUGCACAGCCUCUGUGCACAGCCUGGGCCAGUGCCCCACCACCCCCAGUGGAAAAGAGCAGCUUCCUUAGAUGCAGCUUCAAUCAACCUGCUGCAGCUGAAAGCCAUCCCCAUUGUCCUGUCAGCACAGGCCCUGCUGAACACUCUGUCCCCUUCUUUCCUGUGGGAGCCUUCCAGUCCUGCACAGCCACAGGGAGGCCUCCCAGUGUCUCCUGUCUCCAGGCUGAGCAUCCCCAGCCCCACUUGCGCAGCAGUCAGUCACAUCAGGGCCAGUCCAGGCUGAAGGGUAGCAAAUAGCAUCAGGAACUGAGAGAUGCAAGCUUUAGACCCAGGUUUUUCUGUUUGAAAGGAAGCUUGGCACAAUGUCCAUUGUCUUCUCCAUUUGUGAAACAACACGCGGAGUCUGGGCAGGCUGAUGAUGCAGAGCAAAACCUGAAAAUAUACUAGUGAUCCUGAGCCUAGGGGAUGCAGCUAAACCCAGCCAAAAGGAAUUUCUGAAAAGCUGAUCCUGGUUUAAAUUAUCUUGAGUUUGGCUUUGCCAACUUCACCAGUCAUUUAUGAAAAAGCAAACAAAAAACUCAAGCCAAAUCAGACAUAAACACAAACAAACAAACAAACAAACCCACGCAGCAAACCAAUCAAAGAAAUAGAUAAAAAAAACCCCAAAUAAAACCAAAGGGAAUGAAGAGUUAGUACUAGUUGUGAGGAUAGCACAGCAGGCAAAUGGCUGCUUCCCACAGGAUCAUCAUGAAAAGCCACAUAGAACAGCUGCUCCAAAAUAUACCCAACAGGAGAAAAAGAAAAAGUGAGACAUGGCAACUUUGGGGGCAGCUCCACAUUCAGGUGAAGGAUGAGCACGCAGUGGUACAGAUCCAGCAUUGCCCACCCUCCAGGCUGCUCUUUGCUCCUGAUGAAAGACCCUUGCAGGACUGUGGCCCCUCUCAGUGCAGUGUCAGUCAUUCCCAGAGCUCUCAGAUGAGCCACUGGCAUUUGCAGAGAGACAUCCAGGCACAAUCCUGCUGCCUGCUGAGCACCUGUGGAAGAUCCUGAGCAUCUUCAUGCCUAGCAGCACAAAACAGCUCAGGAUUUCUCUGAACUGCUUUUCAGGAGAGGUUUCCAUAUCCCCGUGAGAUCUGUUCAUCCCUCAACACGUCUGACUUGAUGUACAAUGAUGCAUUUGGGUUGCUCCCUUCCUCCUGUGUGCCAGUGAUAAACCAUCCAUGGGAAUGGAGGAUGUUGUGUGCAGGGCAAUGUAUUCCUGGCUUGCCAUUUUGCUUCACUCUCACUCAGCUGAACAUGGUCCCUAUCUAAGAAGGACUUCAGAGAAAUGUGUAGGAAUUUUGGCUCUGAGAGGAGCAGAAAGCAUAUUUUCUAGACCACAUUGCCAGCAGAUGCUGUUUCCCUGGCAGAACUGUGAUUGACACUCAUCUUCCUAGGAAGAAUGUCAAGACCCAUUCAGAGAUCCCAGGUUCAGCUGGCCUUUGGCUUUGUCUACCUCAUUUCACACAUCCACUUUCAAGGGCCAUUAGAAGAGGCACAUGUCUGCCUUGCUACCCAGAAGUGCUGUAGUUAUUCCCAGGUUAAAAAAGAAAACCAACCAAAAACUGGGUGUCCUGUGGUGUGGUAGAAAUCCCAUCACAGUUGUGACUCUGUGAGCAAAGACAACCGGUGCUUUUUGGGGCUGUAACAGCUGAGAGUGUGGCAGAGCAGGUUUGAUAUUCUUUUUAGAGUCCUGAAAACAUUGUUCCCAAAACAAUCUUUCUCUCCUGUCUUCUGUCAUCAACUGUGGAACAGAGGAAAUGGAAGGGAUCAGAGGUUUGUUUAAACUUGCGCUUAAUUUUAAGUCUUCAAGUAGUGUCAGCUCGAUGCGUGAUACUUUAGAAAUUGGAUGAGUAGCACCUAUUUCAUCGCAGCGAGAGGUGGGAUUGAAGACUUCCAACAACAGAAACACUGGAUGUGCAGGAGCUCAGUUUUCCACCCCUCGCACAAGUAACUUGCUGUACUAUUUUCAGCAGCCUCAGCCAGAUCGAUUAAAAUCCUGCUCCAAACAACAACAGAAUGAAAAUCUUCCACCAAAUGGGGAAAAGGAAGAAAAGUGGGCCGCAGCCCUUUCUUCAGAGCUUGUGUUGAUUUUGCCAAGUCAGAUGCAAACAAGAGCUGGGAGGAGCAAAACAGGUUCCAGAGAAGCUGUGGUUGUGUCACCCUUGGAAGUGUUCAGGGCCAGGUUGGAUGGGGCUUGGAGCAACCUUGUUAGCGGAAGGUGUCCUGAGUCUGGUGAGUCCCUGAAAAGAAACUUUUGGUUUUCCUGAAAUGCUGCCUUUGCAAGGGGAGGUCACAACUACCCCACGUAAUUUGAAAUGCCCUGAGCAGAACCCAACUGUUUUUUCUCACAGGUGAGGAGGGAUUUUCACUUGUAUUUUGUGGGGGAUUUUGACAGGGCAGAGCAAGAGCAGCUGAAUGUGUCUGACAGGCAAAGAGGGCUAGUGUGGCAGCAGCUUAAUUCCAUGGAGCUUUUCCUUCUGUGAUCCCGUACAACCUGAGGCAGCACUCUGGGGCUCUUGAACCUGGCAGCUGGGCAAGUUAAUCAUUGGAACAAGUGAUAAAUUAAGCUGAUCCACUCUCUUGAGCAUGGGUGUGAUGAGCCUUAAGUAAACCUGUGAGCACUUGCCAGGAUGGGAGCUUGUUCUUUGCCAGGGAGGAGGGAGAAAAUAUUGCUUGGAGUAAAUAAAGCAACUCUGCUUCCCCUGGAAGAGGAAAAGAAGGAAUUAAAUAUGUGAAUGCUGCAUGGAAUAAUUUGCACAAGGCUAUAUCUUGUCUGCUAUGCAGGAAUGUUCUCAAUAAACCAUGCUUCUCCUGACCAUUAUUUUUCUGGGUUUCCACCACAUGAUACAAGAGACUCUCAAUAGACCCCUGUCUCCCCACCCCCAGCGCCGCAGCCUCCCCCAGAGGAUGUUCCACGAGAUCGACCCCAGAGCCUGACACGGGGACGGGGGGCCGAGG